AUUGAACGCUGGCGGCAUGCCUUACACAUGCAAGUCGAACGGUAACGGGCCUUCGGGUGCCGACGAGUGGCGAACGGGUGAGUAAUACAUCGGAACGUGCCCGAUCGUGGGGGAUAACGAGGCGAAAGCUUUGCUAAUACCGCAUACGAUCUACGGAUGAAAGCAGGGGACCGCAAGGCCUUGCGCGGACGGAGCGGCCGAUGGCAGAUUAGGUAGUUGGUGGGAUAAAAGCUUACCAAGCCGACGAUCUGUAGCUGGUCUGAGAGGAUGAUCAGCCACACUGGGACUGAGACACGGCCCAGACUCCUACGGGAGGCAGCAGUGGGGAAUUUUGGACAAUGGGCGCAAGCCUGAUCCAGCCAUGCCGCGUGCAGGAUGAAGGCCUUCGGGUUGUAAACUGCUUUUGUACGGAACGAAAAGCCUUCUUUUAAUGCAGGAGGGUCAUGACGGUACCGUAAGAAUAAGCACCGGCUAACUACGUG
rnacentral:rRNA from 1 species